AAUGAACGCUGGCGGCGUGCCUAACACAUGCAAGUCGAACGAGAAACCUCGGGCUUGCUCGAGGGAGUAAAGUGGCGAACGGGUGAGUAACACGUGGGUAACCUACCUCUGAAUCUGGAAUAACUUCGCGAAAGCGUCGCUAAUACCGGAUAUUGUUCUGGGGACCGUGGUUCCUGGGAUGAAAGGUGACCUCUUCAUGAAAGUUGCCGUUCAGGGACGGGCCCGCGUACCAUUAGCUAGUUGGUAGGGUAAUGGCCUACCAAGGCGACGAUGGUUAGCUGGUCUGAGAGGAUGGCCAGCCACACUGGCACUGAAACACGGGCCAGACUCCUACGGGUGGCUG
rnacentral:rRNA from 1 species